CCUACGGGGGGCUGCAGUGGGGAAUAUUGGACAAUGGGGGCAACCCUGAUCCAGCCAUGCCGCGUGUGUGAAGAAGGCCCUCGGGUUGGAAAGCACUUUCAGUGAGGAAGAACGCCUGGUGGUUAAUACCCAUCAGGAAAGACAUCACUCACAGAAGAAGCACCGGCUAACUCCGUGCCAGCAGCCGCGGUAAUACGGAGGGUGCGAGCGUUAAUCGGAAUUACUGGGCGUAAAGCGCGCGUAGGUGGCUUGAUAAGCCGGUUGUGAAAGCCCCGGGCUCAACCUGGGAACGGCAUCCGGAACUGUCAAGCUAGAGUGCAGGAGAGGAAGGUAGAAUUCCCGGUGUAGCGGUGAAAUGCGUAGAGAUCGGGAGGAAUACCAGUGGCGAAGGCGGCCUUCUGGACUGACACUGACACUGAGGUGCGAAAGCGUGGGUAGCAAACAGGAUUAGAUACCCUAGUAGUC
rnacentral:rRNA from 1 species